GCUACGGACUUAAAAUCCGUCGACUUUUAAAAUCGUGAGGGUUCAAGUCC
rnacentral:tRNA from 1 species